CUUGCACUCUGCACGCAUGAGCUGAUAUGCUGCAUUCUGCCCACCUGGGAAAGUUUCAGCAACUUUCCAUCCGAAGGCAAUGCAGUAAGAAAGCAGUGUUUAGCUGGCGAGCAGAUUCCAAAUGAGAUCUGUCACACAGUACUUGCUCUCUGCUUUUUUUGGAAUAUUGUUCUUCUAACUUAUCUCCUUCAACAAUCAGGAACUCCAAAGCCCAACUGGCUCCACACACUUCCCUGUGACCUGUGCCUGACACACUUUUGAUUUCAGCCUUCAUUAAGUCAGGCAAUCCACAGUGAAGAUCUACAAACCUCACAAUGGACCUACCUUCAGUAUUUUGUCUCUCCAGAUGGAAGGAGCUAUCAAUCAUGCAGCGGUACCUGACUCUAGGUGCAGCGAAGGCCUCUUACGGGCAGCACAAGAGGUUACAGAGAUGGAUUUCACAGUUAAAGUGAGAGGACAGUUCUAAAGAGACAAUGGUAACACAGGAAGACUGCAAACCAUAUUCUAAGAAAUCUGGAUUCCAGGAACAGAGCAGCUAUGUGGCAAGACUCUAUCAAUAUUUAGCAGUGCUCAUAGCAUACAUUUAAUUGAAGCAGUCAAGAGGAUAUAAGGAGCAGAGGGCUGGGGAAGAAUUAUUCUUCUGGUCUUUAUAGAUGCAAAUUUAUAUUCAAAUUAACCCCCAGCUCAGUGGAGUCCCACUAAUCCUUUUACAAAAGCUUGACGUGUUAAUCCCAGCCCAGCACUAGUCUAGUGGCUGUUUAAACAGUUACCUAGAUUAGUUUUCAUAUUUACAAAUAAAUCCCGUCUGAAGUGCAGUUUAACUUGGGGCUGACUUCUUGCCACCUUUAAGAAGCAAACACUUCACCAGGGAUGAGAAAAGGGUAAAUCCUUACAGCCUUGCUAACAGGUUAAGAAUUGCUUAAUGAAAACCAGGAAGCAAACUCUGAGCUUGGCUCUUCAUCCAUGGAGCACAACAUGGCAUUUCACAACCUGGUUUAGUGCCACGCUGCUUACACAGUCCAUCCCCGUUAUACAGCUCUCCGGUGUAACACUCUUCUCUUGAUACUUAUUAUGCUGUCCCUUCAC